rnacentral:rRNA from 1 species
UACGAAGGGUGCAAGCGUUGCUCGGAAUUAUUGGGCGUAAAGGGCGCGUAGGCGGCUUUGCAAGUGACGGGUGAAAGCCCUCGGCUUAACCGAGGAACUGCCUGUCAGACUGUGAGGCUUGAGACCGGGAGAGGUGAGUGGAAUUCCCAGUGUAGCGGUGAAAUGCGUAGAUAUUGGGAGGAACACCAGUGGCGAAGGCGGCUCACUGGACCGGAACUGACGCUGAGGCGCGAAAGCGUGGGGAGCAAACAGG